CUUGUACUCCCUCCGUCCGGAAAUACUUGUCAUUGAAAUGGAUGUAUCUAGAUGUAUUUUAGUUCUAGACACAUCCAUUUUGAUGACAAGUAAUUCCGAACGGAGGGAGUACUUG
rnacentral:pre_miRNA from 1 species